rnacentral:rRNA from 1 species
AUAGAUACCCUGGUAGUCCACGCCCUAAACGAUGCGAACUGGAUGUUGGGUACAUUACGGUACUCAGUGUCGAAGCUAACGCGUUAAGUUCGCCGCCUGGGGAGUACGGUCGCAAGACUGAAACUCAAAGGAAUUGACGGGGGCCCGCACAAGCGGUGGAGUAUGUGGUUUAAUUCGAUGCAACGCGAAGAACCUUACCUGGCCUUGACAUCUGUCGAAUCCUGCAGAGAUGCGGGAGUGCCGCAAGGAACGACAAGACAGGUGCUGCAUGGCUGUCGUCAGCUCGUGUCGUGAGAUGUUGGGUUAAGUCCCGCAACGAGCGCAACCCUUGUCCUUAGUUGCCAGCACGUAAUGGUGGGAACUCUAAGGAGACUGCCGGUGACAAACCGGAGGAAGUGGGGAUGACGUCAAGUCCUCAUGGCCCUUACGGCCAGGGCUACACACGUACUACAAUGGUCGGUACAGAGGGUUGCGAAGCCGCGAGGUGGAGCCAAUCCCAGAAAGCCGAUCCCAGUCCGGA